GUGUCAGAUCUCCUGCACUCAGGCUGCAAAAGCUCACACAGCUUGUCUGCCUCCACAUGACCUCUGGAAGUGCUGCCCACCAAGCCCGGCACCAGGACUCUGGUGUCUCUGCUUCAGGUCAGUGCUCUGAACAAGGCUAUGGCAUCCUAAGGCAUCAGGGACAUAAGGUUCAACCCAGCUUGAUCCAGAGCUCCUGCCCUUCAGAUCUCUUGGACUGAAGCACCUCGAGUUUUUUUCUCCCUAAAAGAAAGCCAGUGCUGCAGACUUGGCGACACAUGCCUGGAAUCCGACCCUGGGGACACCGACUUAUAAGGAUCACUUUUCAUUCUGCCAUGACGCCAGUGGAGUGGUGCUAUCCACAGGAGGCGGAGCGCCGACAGUUUCGGGGUGAGCAUGCUGUAUGGUAUAGGUACAUGCCUAUAAUACCCGCACUAUGGAAGUGAAGGCAGGAGCAUCGUGCAGUGGCUAUUCCUGACUGUCAACUUGACUGUAUCUGGAAUGAACUGCAAUCCAGAAUUGUAAGGCUCACCUGUGAUCCUAAUAUGGAGGCUCAGAGAUACAAGUUUCUGACCUGGAUCUUGGCAUGGAGAUUUUGAAGAAUAUGAAUUCCAGAAGAUUAAGACAAGGAGAUCGCCAAGUUCUAGGUCAUUUGGGAUUAAAGGCGAGGUGACACACAUGCCUUUGAUCUGGGCCACGCCCUCUGCUGGAGACCUACUUAAGGACAUUGGAAGAAGGAAGACUCUCUCUCUUUCUUGCCUGCUUGCCUUGUGGGACUGAGCAACUGCUAGAUCCUUGGACUUCGAUUCACAGCUGCUGCUGACCAUUGUUGGAGAGCUGGACUACAGACUAUAAGUCAUCAACAAACUGCCUAACUAUAUAGAGACUACCCAUAUGUUCUGUGACUCUAGAGAACCCUGACUAAUACACAUCAGAAUUCAAGUUCAUCUUCCACUUUGUAGCAAGUCUAAGUUUAGCCUGAACGUCAUGACACCCCACCUCAAAGAAAAAUAAAUGAAUAAAUGAAUAAAUAAAUAAAUAAGUAAAUUCACUUCAACAAUACCAGCAAUAGAUUGGUUUUCUCCAUUAUAUUCCCACUCUGUAAAACCAAAGCUCCCAACAUCAUAUGAUAUAAUUACUGAAAUGAGAGGAUGCAGACUCUAGCUAACAACCUGUCCGUGCCCUUAGGGAAGCUGGUGUUGCUGAGUCAGAAAUAAUCUUGCUUUUAAUACCUUUUAGCUCAUGUGUUCAUUAUCUGAAGGACUCCAACGCUGUUCUCUGAUAUAAAUUAAGAGGCUGCUUCAUACAUUUUACAACUACAGCUUACUUCUUAUUCUAAAAUUUUGCAUUCUCUUAUCCCCUCUUAUGAAAUGUCUACAGGGAAAAGGGCCAUAGGAUUGCUUCACGAUCUAAAGCAGACCGCGGACAUUUGCUGAU